rnacentral:rRNA from 1 species
UACGUAGGUGGCAAGCGUUAUCCGGAAUUAUUGGGCGUAAAGAGCGCGCAGGUGGUUAAUUAAGUCUGAUGUGAAAGCCCACGGCUUAACCGUGGAGGGUCAUUGGAAACUGGUUGACUUGAGUGCAGAAGAGGGAAGUGGAAUUCCAUGUGUAGCGGUGAAAUGCGUAGAGAUAUGGAGGAACACCAGUGGCGAAGGCGGCCUGCUGGACGACAACUGACGGUGAGGCGCGAAAGCGUGGGGAGCAAACAGG